rnacentral:misc_RNA from 1 species
UUACUGAGUUUACGCUCUACAACCCUUUGUGAACAUACCUAUAACUGUUGCUUCGGCGGGUAGGGUCUCCGUGACCCUCCCGGCCUCCCGCCCCCGGGCGGGUCGGCGCCCGCCGGAGGAUAACCAAACUCUGAUUUAACGACGUUUCUUCUGAGUGGUACAAGCAAAUAAUCAAAACUUUUAACAACGGAUCUCUUGGUUCUGGCAUCGAUGAAGAACGCAGCGAAAUGCGAUAAGUAAUGUGAAUUGCAGAAUUCAGUGAAUCAUCGAAUCUUUGAACGCACAUUGCGCCCGCCAGCAUUCUGGCGGGCAUGCCUGUUCGAGCGUCAUUUCAACCCUCAAGCUCUGCUUGGUGUUGGGGCCCUACAGCCGAUGUAGGCCCUCAAAGGUAGUGGCGGACCCUCCCGGAGCCUCCUUUGCGUAGUAACUUUACGUCUCGCACUGGGAUCCGGAGGGACUCUUGCCGUAAAACCCCCAAUUUUCCAAAGGUUGACCUCGGAUCAGGUAGGAAUACCCGCUGAACUUAAGCAUAUCAAUAAGCGGAGGAAAAGAAACCAACAGGGAUUGCCUCAGUAACGGCGAGUGAAGCGGCAACAGCUCAAAUUUGAAAUCUGGCCCUAGGCCCGAGUUGUAAUUUGCAGAGGAUGCUUUUGGUGCGGUGCCUUCCAAGUUCCCUAGAACGGGACGCCAGAGAGGGUGAGAGCCCCGUACAGUUGGACACCAAGCCUUUGUAAAGCUCCUUCGACGAGUCGAGUAGUUUGGGAAUGCUGCUCAAAAUGGGAGGUAUAUUUCUUCUAAAGCUAAAUACCGGCCAGAGACCGAUAGCGCACAAGUAGAGUGAUCGAAAGAUGAAAAGCACUUUGAAAAGAGGGUUAAACAGCACGUGAAAUUGUUAAAAGGGAAGCGCUUGUGACCAGACUUGCGUCCGGUGAAUCACCCAGCUCUCGCGGCUGGGGCACUUCGCCGGCUCAGGCCAGCAUCAGCUCGCUGUCGGGGACAAAAGCUUCAGGAACGUAGCUCUCUUCGGGGAGUGUUAUAGCCUGUUGCAUAAUACCCUUCGGCGGGCUGA